rnacentral:tRNA from 1 species
CGCGGGGUAGAGCAGUUUGGUAGCUCGUCGGGCUCAUAACCCGGAGGUCGCUGGUUCAAAUCCAGCCCCCGCUA